rnacentral:rRNA from 1 species
AGGAUGAACGCUGGCGGCGUGCUUAAUACAUGCAAGUCGAGCGAGGACCACUUGGUGGCAACACCGGGUGGCUCCUAGCGGCGAACGGGUGAGUAACACGUGGGCAACCUACCCCCGACUCUGGGAUAAGCCCGGGAAACUGGGUCUAAUACCGGAUAUGAACCUCCUCCGCAUGGUGGAGGUUGGAAAGGGUCUCCGGUUGGGGAUGGGCCCGCGGCCUAUCAGCUUGUUGGCGGGGUAACGGCCCACCAAGGCGACGACGGGUAGCCGGCCUGAGAGGGUGAACGGCCACACUGGGACUGAGACACGGCCCAGACUCCUACGGGAGGCAGCAGUAGGGAAUCUUGCGCAAUGGGCGAAAGCCUGACGCAGCGACGCCGCGUGCGGGACGAAGGCCUUCGGGUUGUAAAGCUCUUUUGGCCGGGAAGAAAAGGCGCCCGUUGAAUACGGGGCGCUGUUGACGGUACCGGCAGAAUAAGCACCGGCUAACUACGUGCCAGCAGCCGC